CUUUCUUUUAUUAUGGCAUUUGAGUCACGUUUAACAGAAUAGAAAAAAGGAGUUAAAUCAUCAGACAUAAGACAAAUGUAUCAACGUAUAGCAGAGGAAACUCCUAAGCGAAGCUGCCACAUUUUUAUAAUAGUAAGAAGACAAGUUAUAUUAGGCUAGAUAUUCAUGAAUGGAUUGUUGUAGGAUUAACAUGCUAAAGACACGGUAUAUCAGGCUAGAUCUUAACCCCUUAAGGACACAACUUCUGGAAUAACAUGGAAUCAUGAUGGAAUAUUUCCAUCAUGUGUCCUUAAGGGGUUAAUGAGUAAACUGCGAUGGCAUGUACAUACUAAAAACAGAGUGUUUCAGGCUAAAUAUACAUGAGAAUAUUAUUGUAGCAUAAACAUCAUGUUAGGGUUACUGGAUUGUAAGAACACUGAGUCCCCCUCCUUGUGGAUGGUUGCGUUUUACAGGAAUCGGGCACUGGCUCCCUAAGAUGGGUAUGAUGGUGAGUGCUUUGUUUUUGGGUGUUACCGUCGCAGCUGGUGGGCUAGGUAUGUGCCUUGAGUAUGUACCUAUACUAGGCAGUGUGAUAGCAGCUAACUUGUAGUUUGUGUGAUAGCAAGCCGCUUCUAUUAGUAUCAAGCGUGCUAAAUAAAAGAUAAGGGGAGCUACCGCAUAUUGACAGGUAAAAUAACCAAAUUUAGAGCCAAACCAUGUGUAAGAAUGUAGGUGUAGGCUGGCAUUCUAUAAACAGGAGGUUAAUCCAGCAUAUAGACCAGACCACCAGCUAUAUAAGUGCUUUGGGUGUAAAGUCCUGGAUCAGUCUACGAGGUGGCAGGUUGAGGGGGUUGGGCGACAUCAUGAGGCAGAGUCCAAGCAAGUCCUCCCCAUAGCCCCAGGUCGUCAUGAAGGCCUGCAUCCAUGGACCAUGAACUUAAUUGCUCAUAUAGGAGUCUGAGUUCUUCCCUUGCAGGGGACGGUGUUGGAGACCAAUGGAUAGUUGCCGCCUGCUGCACCGGAUCCUCCUCGUCGGUGGCCGAUGCACCAAGCACAUCCCUGUUCGUCUUCAGCCCGGGUAGGCCCAUUGUGGGAGGCCGCAACACUGCUGUGGAAGGAGCGCCCGCUAGUCUCCCGCCUCUCUUCCCUGCGCUUACUCUCCUCAACCGGAGCCUGUGACGUCUCGAGGUGCGCUGAUAGCUUGGCCCAGAAGCUGUCGAACAACUCAGCCAGGCGCUGCAGUAUGCGCUCUGUGCUGUCACGGCAGGCUGCUGUGCACAAGGCGAUUGUUUGUCCGCCAUCUUGAGGUGAGCCGCCUUGUCUAAAAUCUGUGUCAGUGCAGGUGCUUGGGGGCUGCUGUAGUCUGCUGUAGUCAGAGGCGGUCAUCAGGGGGGACCAGGAUAACCCCCGCCAGUCCAAAGGGGGAGGGGACAGCAAAGCGCCGGUCAGAGAACUGGGAGAGCAGCCGUCUCACCCCAGCUCAAUCUCAGGUUUGCCUCAGGUCUCAAUCAGGAUACUUUGAUGCCAUACGGGGUCAUGUAAGGUAUCCCCAUGUACACCGUCGGCAGCUUAGCAGGUUGGUUACUGAUUUAGGUCGGUGUAAGUGUGUGGCCCGCAGUUAGCCCUGGUUUUCG
rnacentral:lncRNA from 1 species